GGUAGGAAACCCAAACGUCGCCGUGUUUGGGUGAUAGAGUUUAGAUCGGGUUAGAUUAAAUAAUCUCGGAUAUAAAUAACAAUAAUCGGGUUAAAUAACUUCACAUGGUGUGUCUGGUGUGUUUCCAGCAUUCGUAGUGUUGAUCAGCAGAGAAAUAGGCUGUGUCCCAAUUCUUAGGACGCAUCCUUCGAAGGCUGCAUUCGAAGGAUGCGUCGACGCCGAUUUCGUCACAGCGACGCGCCAAGUGCUGUCCCAAUUCCAAGGGUCCUUCAAAUGCGGCCUACGAAUGCAGCCUUCUUUUCCCGGAUUUGAAGGAUGCAUCGGCUGUAUCCUUCGCGGCCCAACGUAUCCCAAGAUCCUUCACGGCCCAACUUAUCCCUCCCAAGAUUCAUUGCGCAUUCAAUCCAAAAAAUAAAACAACAAUGUGGAUUGUUGAGAAUGUGGAUUUGACUUUUUCAUUUAAAUGUAAGUAUUUGGUUUCCAGUCACUCGAGUAUUUAACGAUACAAAUGUUAAAAUACUAAUUUUUAUCGUUAAAAACACAAAUAAGUUAUCCUUAAAACUUAUUUCAUUAAAGUAAUAGGCAAUAUAAGUAAGGUAACGUUACAGUUAGUGAAGCUGUAACGGUAACUAAGAACACCCGUUAAGCCCUAUAGUUUCAAAUUUAAGAGGUCAAAAUGGUUAUAUUUACCGAAAUUGGGGGGAUUAUAUAGAUAAUUUGCUAUUCUGUAACGUUAGAUAAAUGGACCAACACGAACACAGGUUGUGGACCCUGGUUUUCAGACCGUAACGUUACAGACGUUGGGAUUGAUUACACAGCUAACUUGGUUAUUUUGCUAUUUAAGCUGCUUUUGUUUGUUAGUGUAAAGUAAAACUAAUUCUAACAUUUGGUUUUGCUUUAGGGAGCAAGGAGCAUGCUGCUCAAUUUAUGAGGGGGGAGAAUGACGAGCUCUUCACCGGGGUGAAACAUUCGGCGAGUGUGGCUUGGGGGAUUGCAAGUAUCCAGGGUCAGGAGAGGGGGUAGGUGGGAAACCCACUGCUGCCACUUGGCCCUGGUUUGUCCUCAUGGAUGAGGUAUUGGGACAGAGGCAUUCCACCAACCCCCCUGUCCUAAUUGCCUCCAUCCUUGAGAACACACCAGGACCAAGUACAGCAGUGGUGGAUCUGGAGGUGGAGGAGAAGGAUGAGGAGGAAAUACAGCGGCCAAGGUCCAGAAAGAGGGACAGAGAGGACGAAAUGUUCCAUUUGAUUAAAGAGGACAUGAGGCUAAAUAGGGAGGCAGAGGAGAGAAGAGCCCAGGAGAGCAGGGAGAGGAUGGAUCGUUUUUUUUCAAUUUUGGAGCGUUUGGCUGACAAAUAAUUUCAGUUCUG